GACAGAGGGGGGCAAGCGUUGCUCGGAAUUAUUGGGCGUAAAGGGCUCGUAGGCGGUCUGUCACGUCGGGAGUGAAAACUCGGGGCUUAACCCCGAGCCUGCUUCCGAUACGGGCAGACUAGAGGUAUGCAGGGGAGAACGGAAUUCCUGGUGUAGCGGUGAAAUGCGCAGAUAUCAGGAGGAACACCGGUGGCGAAGGCGGUUCUCUGGGCAUUACCUGACGCUGAGGAGCGAAAGUGUGGGGAGCGAACAGG
rnacentral:rRNA from 1 species